rfam:Euryarchaeota archaeon RBG_13_57_23 RBG_13_scaffold_5014, whole genome shotgun sequence.
AGCCCCGUAGUGUAGCGGUCAAUCAUGUGGGCCUUUGGAGCCCGCGACGGAGGUUCGAAUCCUCCCGGGGCUA